CGGGUGAGUAACACGUAGGUAAUCUACCUUUGGAUUGGGAAUAACAACCGGAAACGGUUGCUAAUACCGAAUAAUGCAGCGGCACCUAAUGGUGACAGUUGUUAAAGCGGGGGAUCACAAGACCUCGCGUCUGAAGAGGAGCCUGCGGCAGAUUAGCUAGUUGGUAAGGUAACGGCUUACCAAGGCGAUGAUCUGUAGCCGGCCUGAGAGGGCGGUCGGCCACACUGACACUGACAUACGGGUCAGACUCCUACGGGAGGCAGCAGUCGGGAAUUUUGGGCAAUGGGCGAAAGCCUGACCCAGCAACGCCGCGUGAAGGAUGAAAUCCCUCGGGAUGUAAACUUCGCAAGAACGGGAAGAAUAAGUGAGAGUUAAUAUCUUUCACGAUGACGGUACUGUUUGUAAGCUCCGGCUAACUCCGUGCCAGCAGCCGCGGUAAUACGGGGGGAGCAAGCGUUGUUCGGAUUUACUGGGCGUAAAGGGCGCGUAGGCGGCCACCGCAAGUCGACUGUGAAAUCUCCGGGCUUAACCCGGAAAGGUCAGCCGAUACUGCGGGGCUAGAGUGCAGAAGGGGCAACUGGAAUUCUCGGUGUAGCGGUGAAAUGCGUAGAUAUCGAGAGGAAC
rnacentral:rRNA from 1 species